UACGGGAGGCAGCAGUGGGGAAUAUUGCACAAUGGGCGAAAGCCUGAUGCAGCGACGCCGCGUGAGGGAUGACGGCCUYCGGGUUGUAAACCUCUUUCAGUAGGGAAGAAGCGAAAGUGACGGUACCUGCAGAAGAAGCGCCGGCUAACUACGUGCCAGCAGCCGCGGUAAUACGUAGGGCGCAAGCGUUAUCCGGAAUUAUUGGGCGUAAAGAGCUCGUAGGCGGUUUGUCGCGUCUGCUGUGAAAGGCCAGGGCUCAACCCUGGUUCUGCAGUGGGUACGGGCAGACUUGAGUGAUGUAGGGGAGACUGGAAUUCCUGGUGUAGCGGUGAAAUGCGCAGAUAUCAGGAGGAACACCGAUGGCGAAGGCAGGUCUCUGGGCAUUAACUGACGCUGAGGAGCGAAAGCAUGGGGAGCGAACAGGAUUAGAUACCCUGGUAGUCCAUGCCGUAAACGUUGGGCACUAGGUGUGGGGGACAUUCCACGUUUUCCGCGCCGUAGCUAACGCAUUAAGUGCCCCGCCUGGGGAGUACGGCCGCAAGGCUAAAACUCAAAGGAAUUGACGGGGGCCCGCACAAGCGGCGGAGCAUGCGGAUUAAUUCGAUGCAACGCGAAGAACCUUACCAAGGCUUGACAUGGACUGGAUCGCAUCAGAGAUGGUGUUUCCCUUCGGGGCUGGUUCACAGGUGGUGCAUGGUUGUCGUCAGCUCGUGUCGUGAGAUGUUGGGUUAAGUCCCGCAACGAGCGCAACCCUCGUUCCAUGUUGCCAGCGCGUAAUGGCGGGGACUCAUGGGAGACUGCCGGGGUCAACUCGGAGGAAGGUGGGGACGACGUCAAAUCAUCAUGCCCCUUAUGUCUUGGGCUUCACGCAUGCUACAAUGGCCGGUACAAAGGGUUGCGAUACUGUGAGGUGGAGCUAAUCCCAAAAAGCCGGUCUCAGUUCGGAUUGGGGUCUGCAACUCGACCCCAUGAAGUUGGAGUCGCUAGUAAUCGCAGAUCAGCAACGCUGCGGUGAAUACGUUCCCGGGCCUUGUACACACCGCCCGUCAAGUCACGAAAGUUGGUAACACCCGAAGCCGG
rnacentral:rRNA from 1 species